AUUGAACGCUGGCGGCAGGCCUAACACAUGCAAGUCGAACGAGUGGCGGACGGGUGAGUAAUGUCUGGGAAACUGCCUGAUGGUGGGGGAUAACUAAUGGAAACGGUAGCUAAUACCGCAUACCAUCAGAUGUGCCCAGAUGGGAUUAGCUAGUUGGUGGGGUAACGGCUCACCAAGGCGACGAUCCCUAGCUGGUCUGAGAGGGUGACCAGCCAAACUGGAACUGAGACACGGUCCAGACUCAAACGGGAGUCAGCAGUGGGGAAUAGUGCAGAAUGGGCGCAAGCAUUAUGCAGCCAUGCCGAGUGUAUGUAGAAGGCAUUCGGGUUGUAAAGUACUUUCAGCGGGGAGGCGUUACCCGCAGAAGAAGCACCGGCUAACUCCGUGCCAGCAGCCGCGGUAAUAC
rnacentral:rRNA from 1 species